AUAAGCAUAAGACUCUACUGGGGAAACUUACUAAAAAUGCAGACUCUGACCCAGCUGAUCUGGUUUGGGGCCCAAGAUUCUGCAUCUCUAACAAUCUUCCAGGUGCUGCUAAU
rnacentral:miRNA from 1 species